CCUGUGCGGGUGCACCAGCCGGGCGCGAGCCCGCGCUCCGUUCCCCGCGGGUACCGCGGCACCCGCAGCCUCCGGGCGCGUGUCCUUCCCCCUCGGGGAGCGGCCGGGACCGCGCUGGGAAACCCCUGAGGCGGCCGAGGAACCUCCAGCUCCGUCCCCAGCACCUGAGGAGACAGGAGCUAACUCCCAGCUGGGUUUUUACCCUCCCGACUAGGGCGUGAAACGGGAAGGAAAAUGGAGUCAUGCGUUUCACCUGGCCUCUGCGGGAGAAAUACAAAGCAGCCCUCAGCAAUCCAGAGGAGACUAGGAGAUUUCGAUGAUCCGAGACCACGCUUCCAGAGUGAUCCAGUAGCCCCAAAAAGCUUUUCUCUCUUUUGACUUCAGUGAUUUGAAGUGGAAUGGCACACAGAAAUAUAGAAUCAAGCCAUUUUAUUCUUGCUCAUUACAGUUUUGCUGUUUGGUUCUUUUUUGUACGUGUGGUAAAUUACUCUGUACCUGCAGUUUGUGAGAUUCAGAUAGGACAGCUACUCCUGUUUUAGCAGGUCCCUCAUUUAUGGGGGAAUACUUGCAUAUAUCCCUACACAUUCCUGUUGCUUUUGUUCUGCUCUCUGCUACUCAAAACUUCUACAUGUAAAAUGGAAAAAAAGAGUAUAACAUAACUGCUAUUGCUUAGAAACACUAUUCAAAUGGCUGAAAAUAGCAGUAAAAUAAUCAACCUUCACUUCAGUUUGUUUGUUCUUUCCCAUGUAAUACUGUAUAGAACUGUAUGUGAUGGAAUACAUAUGAACCUACCAUGUACCUUUCCCCUGGGAAUGAAGAGCCUCUGUAGUUGCAGUCUUUCCAGUGUUUUCCUUCCUCUUUCAUGAAUUAAAUACCUAAUGAGUCAAAACAGAGCUGAAAUGGGAUGCAGGCAGUUGAGUACAGGAAGAAGAGUUU